GCUCAGAUUGAACGCUGGCGGCAUGCUUUACACAUGCAAGUCGAACGGCAGCACAGGGAGCUUGCUCCUGGGUGGCGAGUGGCGCACGGGUGAGUAAUACAUCGGAACGUGUCCUAUCGUGGGGGAUAACUGAUCGAAAGAUCAGCUAAUACCGCAUAAGACCUGAGGGUGAAAGUGGGGGAUCGCAAGACCUCACGCGAUUGGAGCGGCCGAUGCCCGAUUAGCUAGUUGGUGAGGUAAAGGCUCACCAAGGCGACGAUCGGUAGCUGGUCUGAGAGGACGACCAGCCACACUGGGACUGAGACACGGCCCAGACUCCUACGGGAGGCAGCAGUA
rnacentral:rRNA from 1 species